rnacentral:rRNA from 1 species
GACGAACGCUGGCGGCGUGCUUAACACAUGCAAGUCGAACGAAGUGGCGAACGGGUGAGUAACGCGUAAUCAACCUGCCCUUCAGAGGGGGACAACAGUUGGAAACGACUGCUAAUACCGCAUACUGAAGGAGGGGAUUGCGUGUGAUUAGCUAGUUGGGGGGGUAAAGGCCCACCAAGGCGAUGGUCAGUGGGCGGGCUGAGAGGAAGAACCGGCACAACGGGACUGGGACACGGGCCAGACUCCUACGGGAGGCAGCAGUGGGGAAUCUUCCGCAAUGGGGGGAAGUCUGACGGAGGAACGCCGCGUGGGUGAUGACGGCCUUCGGGUUGGAAAGCUCUGUUAAUCGGGACGCGGUACCGGAAUAGAAAGCCACGGCUAACUACGUGCCAGCAGCCGCGGUAAUAC